AGUGAACGCUGGCGGCGUGCCUAAUACAUGCAAGUCGAACGGAGUGGCGCACGGGUGAGUAAUGUAUAGCUAAUCUGCCCUACACUAGAGGACAACAGUUGGAAACGACUGCUAAUACUCUAUAGUGUAGGAUGAGGCUAUAUUGUAUCAGCUAGUUGGUGAGGUAAUGGCUCACCAAGGGUAUGACGCAUAACUGGUCUGAGAGGAUGAUCAGUCACACUGGAACUGAGACACGGUCGGGACUCCUGCGGGAGGGAGCAGAAGGGAAUAUUGCUCGAUGGGGGGAGCCCUGAAGCAGCAGCGCCGCGUGGAGGAUGACACUUUUCGGAGCGUGCACUCCUUUUGUUAGUGAAGCGGUACCUAACGAAUAAGCACCGGCUAACUCCGUGCCAGCAGCCGCGGUAAUAC
rnacentral:rRNA from 1 species